AGCCUUCUGUAUUCGUGCUGAUUUCAUCAGAUUUCAUUACACACCAGACUACAAGGGCUGAUGACACUUCCAAGAUAAGUGAAGCG
rnacentral:pre_miRNA from 1 species